GCUCUCUCUCUAGCCCUUCAGAUCUGUGACUCGUUAAGCUCGCGUAAAACGUUCCGGGUCUAUCCAAAUGAGUCAGAUCUGAAGAUGGGUCUGCGCUGUGCAUGAAAAUGAGCUCAAUGCAGUGUGAUUCUACUGAGUAAUGAGCUCAGUGUCGCCUGCUGCUCUUUCCUUUUGGCUUCUCUCUUUAAUCAAAUGCUGAUUCAAGAGUGUGAAUUUUGCUUUAGAGUCGCUACUUCUCUGAAAAGUGACAAGCCGCUUUUGAGAUUGUUGCUAUAUUAGUCCUCUGAUUCUUUGAGGGGACACAAUGUCGGGUUCAGUGGCUUAUUGGGUACCUUUAAGAUGAGUUAAAGAAUGAACUUGCUAGAUAUAGUAAAUCUUGAGCUACUUAGAGAGUUGAAAUCCUCAACGUUGGCGGAGAUGGGCAUAUGCUAAGCUCAUUCAGAUCCGCAUCUCUCGGUCAAUCUCAGUUCGUUUCCCCCUAAGGAAGCUUCUUCUUCUGUAGCUGUUUUGGAGAGCUCCAGCUUCCUUGGGUUGAAAAUUUCUCAUCUUUUCUGUUUACUUCUUAAUCCUUCCUCCUGCAAUUAGUUCCUCGGAGUCAGUUCUGCUUCUAAUUUUUUUAUAGCAUCGGCGAUCCUUGUCGAUUUGAGACGCUUGCUACUGGAAGCAGAGAAGUCAUGGGACUAAUGCUGUCCGACUGAGGAUUUAGAUCGGUCUUGUUGAUGAGGCUUAGUAUCUGGGACCUGGAUCUAAAUCUUGACAGCAUUUGAUGAGAGAAAAAAUGGUGUCAAGCCGCACCUGAGAUACAUGGCUAUUUUGGUUUGAUGAAGUGAUAACACUACCAUCUUUGCGUAACGAAGUCAGUUGUUAUCUUUAUGUGCUCUUUAACAUGUGGUCGAUGAGAAAUGCAGAUCCUAGAGGGCAAUAACCUUCUCUGGCUUACCAUUUUCGUAAUUUGCUUAAAAAUGUUAGCUCUUUUUAUCUUUCUGCUAAGAUCUGAUG